AUAUACACUUAUCAACCACAACAUUAAAACCACCUGCAUAAUAUCGUGUAGGUGCCCUCGUGCUGCCAAAACAGCUCUGAUGCAUUGAGGCAUGGACUCCACAAGACCUCUGAACGUGUCCUGUGGUAUCUGGCAGCAAGACAUGAGCACCAAAACUUUAAGUCCUGCAGUUUGCAAGGUGGGUCCUCCAUGGAUGUUUUUUUUUUGUUCCAGCACAUCCCACAGAUGAUCUAGGGGAUUUGGAG